rnacentral:snRNA from 1 species
GGAUGUGAGGGCGAUCUGGCUACGACAUCUGUCACCCCAUUGAUUGCCAGUGUUGAUUCGGCUGAUCUGGCUGCUAGGCGGGUGUCCCCUUCCUCCCUCACUGCUCCAUGUGCGUCCCACCCUAUGCUGCGCGCUUAGUCGAAGAGGAUGACCAUCCCCGAUAGAGGAGGACCAUUCUUCGGUCAAGGGUAUACAAAUAGCUGUGCUCCCCUGCUAGAACCUCCAAACAAGCUCUCAAAGAUGCAGUGAGACACACUACAGAUAAAUUCACAUUUUGUGGUACUUUUGCAUUAAAUUGCUUCAUAAA